GGCAAGCCCGCGGAGAAUGGAGCUGCGUGGGUCAGGCUCUCCUCCCGUUUCCUGGCUUCACCUCGGGGACGCUGCACCGUUGGAAGAGAGCCACAGAAAGCUAAAGGCACAGGCUCCUUACAGGGCAUCUGCUUCAUGCCUCCAUUUUACAGAUGAGGAAAUUGAUCCAAAGAAGGGGUGGGAAGUGACCAAAGCUGCCUUUCUGAAUUCUGGCACCUGCGACCAGAUCCAGCUCUUGUUGGCAUGGUUUAGGUACUCCUUCAGUGAGCAUUUAUCAAGCUCCUGGAUGCGGUGUGCUAAACGCAGGGUAGGCGCAAGAAGGAGCAAUCGAUUUAAGUGAAGAAGAAGGAACGGUGUUUAAGUACCUAAGGUGUCAGAUUGAAGGAGUCUAGGAUCAGAGAUCAUCAGAGUUGAAGAUCAUCUGGGACAACGCCCUCAUGUUAAUGAAGGAGCCUUGAAAAACUGUAAAAGCUCCAACUCUGAUGAAGGAGUAAGAAAUAUGCCUCCCCCUUGACAGGAAGAAUGUGUGAAAUGAAGGACCUCAGGUGCUACGCUGGUUUUUGACAGUCCCUCAGAAGAAAGCACUUCCUGCCUGUUCUAUUCAAUCCCAGUCCAGGUGAGUCACCACAUUUUCA